CCUACGGGGGGCAGCAGUGGGGAAUAUUGGACAAUGGGCGAAAGCCUGAUCCAGCCAUGCCGCGUGUGUGAAGAAGGCCUUCGGGUUGUAAAGCACUUUCAGUGGGGAAGAAAGCCUUGGGGCUAAUACCCUCGAGGAAGGACAUCACCCACAGAAGAAGCACCGGCUAACUCCGUGCCAGCAGCCGCGGUAAUACGGAGGGUGCGAGCGUUAAUCGGAAUUACUGGGCGUAAAGCGCGCGUAGGCGGUCUGAUAAGCCGGUUGUGAAAGCCCCGGGCUCAACCUGGGAACGGCAUCCGGAACUGUCAGGCUAGAGUGCAGGAGAGGAAGGUAGAAGUCCCGGUGUAGCGGUGAAAUGCGUAGAGAUCGGGAGGAAUACCAGUGGCGAAGGCGGCCUUCUGGACUGACACUGACGCUGAGGUGCGAAAGCGUGGGUAGCAAACAGGAUUAGAUACCCGAGUAGUC
rnacentral:rRNA from 1 species